rnacentral:lncRNA from 1 species
GUGGAGUGAUUGAUUAAAACCCCAUUUGAUUUUGAUGAGCUCAAAGCAUUUGAGUAUAUCUUUUAAUUACUAAUGAAUUCAAUUGAGUGUUUCAGUGAAAAUCCUGUCUAAGUGUCCCAAGACUUGGUUCAUAAUUGUUGGAUAAGUUAAGGAGUCUGUUUGAACCAAUGUCUGAGACUCGAGUCGACUCCAGAUGAGUACGAGUCGACUCCGACUGAGAACAGACAGAAGAACAGAAAGGAUCAACUCAGAACCUGUCAACGAGUCGACUCCUGAAGUGCGCGA